UGUCAUAAUAGUCGGUAGUAACAGAGGGUUCGACUGGGCGGCUCAGAUUGAACGCUUAAGGGAUGCUUUACACAUGCAAGUCGAACGGCAGCACGGACUUCGGUCUGGUGGCGAGUGGCGAACGGGUGAGUAAUGUAUCGAACGUGCCCAGUAGCGGGGGAUAACUAACGAAAGCGUAGCCAAUACCGCAUACGCCCUUCGGGGGAAAGCGGGGACCUUCGGGCCUCGCACUAUUAGAGCGGCCGAUAUCGAUUAGCUUAGUUGGGUGGGGUAACGGCUCACCAAGGCGACGAUCCGUAGCUGGUUUGAGAGGACGACCAGCCACACUGGGACUGGAGAUACGCUCCAGACUCACGGGAGGCAGCAGUGGGGAAUUUUGAUAACGGGGGAAACUCCCGAUCCAGCCAUCCUGGCGUGUGCGAUGAAGGCCUUCGGUUGUAAAGCACCUUUUGGCAGGAAAGAAACGGCACGGAUAAUACCCUCGUGCAACUGACGGUACCCGUAAGAAUACACCGGCUAACCACGUGCCAGCAGCCGCGGUAAUACCGUGGGCGCAAGCAGCAAUCGGCAAUUACCGGGCGAAGCGUGCGCAGGCGGUUCGGAAAGAAAGAUGUGAAAUCCCAGAGCUUAACUUUGGAACUGCAUUUUUAACUACCGAGCUGAGUGUGUGUCGAGGGAGUGUGGAACUCCCGCGUAGCAGUGAAAUGCGUAGAUAUGCGGAGGAACACCGACGCCAUGAAGGUUAGCCUCCUGAUAACACUGAUCACUAUGCACGAAAGCGUGGGGAGCAAACAGGAUUAGAUACCCUGGUAGUCCACGCCCUGAACCGGUCAACUAGCUGUUGGGGCCUUCGGGCCUUGGUAGCGCAGCUAACGCGGAAGCUGACCGCCUGGGGAGUACGUAGUUUGGGUCGCAAGAUUAAAACCUCAAAGGAAUUGACGGGGACCCGCACAAGCGGUGGAUGAUGUGGAUUAAUUCGAUGCAACGCGAAAAACCUUACCUUACCCUUGACAUGUCUGGAAUCCCGAAGAGGACGAAGAGUGCUCGCAAGAGAACCGGAACAUCAGGUGCUGCAUACUGUCGUCAGCUCGUGUCGUGGAGAUGCUGGGGUUAAGUCCCGCAACGAGCGCAACCUCGUCAUUAGUUGCUACGAAAGGGCACUCUAAUGAGAUCGCCGGUGACAAACCGAGGAAGGUGAUGACGUCAAGUCCUCAUGGCCCUUAUGGGUAGGGCUUCACAUCGUCAUACAGCAACCGUCGUCGUGGGACAGAGGGUCGCCAACCCGCGAGGGGAGCCAAUCCCAGAAACCCGGAUCGUAGUCCGGAUCGCAGUCUGCAACUCGACUGCGUGAAGUCGGAAUCGCUAGUAAUCGCGCCGAUCAGCAUGUCGCGGUGAAUACGUUCCGGUCUGCACUACUUCACCGCCCGUCACACCAUGGGAGUGGGUUUUACCAGAAGUAGUUAGCUCAACCGUAAGGAGGGCGAUUACCACGGUAGGAUUCAUGACUGGGGUGAAGUCGUAACAAGGUAG
rnacentral:rRNA from 1 species